AAUAGAUACCCCGGUAGUCCACGCCGUAAACGAUGAGUGCUAAGUGUUAGGGGGUUUCCGCCCCUUAGUGCUGCAGCUAACGCAUUAAGCACUCCGCCUGGGGAGUACGGUCGCAAGACUGAAACUCAAAGGAAUUGACGGGGGCCCGCACAAGCGGUGGAGCAUGUGGUUUAAUUCGAAGCAACGCGAAGAACCUUACCAGGUCUUGACAUCCCAUUGACCACUAUGGAGACAUAGUUUUCCCUUCGGGGACAACGGUGACAGGUGGUGCAUGGUUGUCGUCAGCUCGUGUCGUGAGAUGUUGGGUUAAGUCCCGCAACGAGCGCAACCCUUGUUCUUAGUUGCCAUCAUUUAGUUGGGCACUCUAAGGAGACUGCCGGUGACAAACCGGAGGAAGGUGGGGAUGACGUCAAAUCAUCAUGCCCCUUAUGACCUGGGCUACACACGUGCUACAAUGGACGGUACAAACGGUUGCCAACCCGCGAGGGGGAGCUAAUCCGAUAAAACCGUUCUCAGUUCGGAUUGUAGGCUGCAACUCGCCUACAUGAAGCC
rnacentral:rRNA from 1 species